rnacentral:rRNA from 1 species
UACGAAGGGGGCUAGCGUUGCUCGGAAUCACUGGGCGUAAAGGGUGCGUAGGCGGGUCUUUAAGUCAGAGGUGAAAUCCUGGAGCUCAACUCCAGAACUGCCUUUGAUACUGAGGAUCUUGAGUUCGGGAGAGGUGAGUGGAACUGCGAGUGUAGAGGUGAAAUUCGUAGAUAUUGGGAAGAACACCGGUGGCGAAGGCGGCUCUCUGGACCGUAACUGACGCUGAGGCGCGAAAGCGUGGGGAGCAAACAGGG